UACAGAGGGGGCAAGCGUUGUUCGGAAUUACUGGGCGUAAAGGGCGCGUAGGCGGCCUGUUAAGUCGGACGUGAAAUCCCCCGGCUUAACCUGGGAACUGCGUCUGAUACUGGGAGGCUUGAGUAUGGGAGGGGGAUGUAGAAUUCCAGGUGUAGCGGUGAAAUGCGUAGAUAUCUGGAGGAAUACCGGUGGCGAAGGCGGCAUCCUGGACCAUAACUGACGCUGAGGCGCGAAAGCCAGGGGAGCAAACGGG
rnacentral:rRNA from 1 species